ACAAAAUAAAAUGAAAAUAAAAAUAAAAUCUAUCCAAUAUAAAAGAUGGAUAAAACGAAUUAUAAUUUCAAUCGAUACUAAUUGUUCGAUCUCCGAUGAUCACGAUCCUGUCCAAUUAAAUUUACAUUUGAAAGAUUACAAUAAGAAAGAGAGAGAGAGAGAGAGAGAGAGAGAGAGAGAGAGAGAGAGAGAAAGAGAGAGUGAGAGUAAGAGAAAGAGAAAGAGAAAGAAAGUAAUAUGACAUUAAAUCGAUAUAACUAUCGAAUCUCAUUCGUUCUCUUGAAGAUGAUGUCUCGUGAUUUUCACCGUGAAUACGACGAUUUAGCCAUGACGAGAAAGAGGGAAAAGGAGAAGAGAAGAGAGCAGGGAUCUGAUAGAAAGAGAAAGAGAAAGAGAAAGAGAAAGAGAAAGAGAAAGAGAAAGAGUGAGCAGAAUUGCGUAACUAUAACAGAGCUGGGAUCUAUAUUUUAACUCGCGUUUUGUCGUAAGAGCAGCUGCUAGUUGGAGUCUUCCCUUUCAAAAGCUUGCCUUUACGUGUUAGUAUAUAACCGGAGUUACAGAGGCAACGAACGAAGAUGGAGAACAUGGUAUAUUCGGAUGAAAAAACAAAGACGAAGAAAAGGCACCAAGGUGCAAAGAGAAGCCUCCUGGGUGGACGACCAACAUAUUUAUAGUCACGCGCGACUUUACUCUCUUACAUUCAAAUGUAUAUACAAUCUAUGAAUGUAUCUAUGGAUGUGUAUGCAUAGAAUAAGGAUGUUUUUAUCUAUCGACAUUCUUAGUUCUCCUGCAUAUCUGAAGGCUGUGUCUAGUGCUGUCCUCUACGAUCUAGUUUUAUAGUUGGUAGUCUGCUUCAUUAGAAAGGUAGAUACUCUAUCUGAUAUCGAAAGGAAGCAACAUAAUAGCAGAUCCUAUAGUGUAAAUAGCGACUAUCGGUAAUACUAAUCGUUACGUUACAAUAUGGAGUAAAUAUUUACAUAUGUGUAUAUAUACGUGAGUAUGUAAAGUAUGUAAUAUAUAAUAUAUCUAUAUUUAUACAAUGCUUUUUAUUUUUUUCCUAUAUAUAUAAUUAUCGUUUUUUUUAUGGCUAUUAUGGUAUGUUUAUUAUUUUAUUGCCUUUUGUAACAGUUAAAUAAUUAUAUAGCUAACAAUGAUAUUGAAAAGGUCACAGAACGUAAAAAUAGGUUAACUGUAAUAAUUUUAUGAUUAGUUAAAAAUGCUUAAAGUUACCGGAAGAAUGAGUACUUCGAGGGAAGAGAGAGUAGUAUAUUAGUGUAAUGUGUAUCCGUGUGCUCUGGUUACCUGUUAGAAUAUAACUUCGUCUUUCUAAUCAAUUUGCGUCGAUUUAAAUGUAAUUUAUAUUUUAAUAAUAUCCUACAUAUUUUAUAUCGGCAAAGAAAAUAUAAAUUUCGUUAAACGGAAAUAAAUGGUAUUUAACAAUUUGAAGUGCUUAACUAAUGUAACAUAUACAGCGCUAUUCAAAGUUACUCUUCUAAUUAGCUUAAUCGGUUUUAAUCAGUAAAGAUAAAUAAAACAAGAAACAAACAUAAUUACUAUUAUUAUUUGGUAUCGCAUUUUAAGUCAUCAAUUCGUACCACUAAUGUAUAUACAGCGCUAUUCAAAGGUACUCUUUUAAUUGGCUUAAAAUAGCUUAACAUAGUUUACUCGAAUUUAGCGAGAAAAGAUAAAUAAAAUAAGAAACAAAUAUUAUUAUUGUUGUUGUUAUUAUUAUUAUUAUUAUUUGGUAUAAUAUUUCAAUCGAUCAAUUCGUACCGUUAAUAUAUGUACAGCGCUAUUCAAAGGUACUCUUUUAAUUGGCUUAAAAUAGCUUAACAUAGUUUACCUGAAUUUAGCGAGUAAAGAUGAAUAAACUAAGAAACAAAUAUUAUUAUUAUUGUUGUUGUUAUUAUUAUUAUUAUUAUUAUUAUUUGGUAUAAUAUUUCAAUCGAUCAAUUCGUACCGUUAAUAUAUGUACAGCGCUAUUCAAAGGUACUCUUUUAAUUGGCUUAAAAUAGCUUAACAUAGUUUACCUGAAUUUAGCGAGUAAAGAUGAAUAAACUAAGAAACAGAUAUUAUUA